GGGCGUUUAGCUCAGCUGGUUUAGAGCAUCUGCCUUACAAGCAGAGGGUCGGCGGUUCGAAUCCGUCAACGCCCACAA
rnacentral:tRNA from 50 species